rnacentral:miRNA from 1 species
GUCAAUUGGUGAUAGUAGUUC